AAUCCAUGUAUUGGACAUUUCCGAAUUAAGUCUUUAAAUUGUUCUUAAGCUUCAUAUAGUGUUUCAUUCUCCAAUUUUCGAAAAGAUGUGACAUCAUUUCUAAGCUU
rfam:Gossypium raimondii scaffold_14_contig_28, whole genome shotgun sequence.